GUGCUUCAUUUGGUAGACCAUUCUUUGGGACUGUUGUUCCUCCCAACACCCUCUGGGAACUAUGUGCAACGGCAAACAGCUGAGAAGACAAGGAGGCCCAGGCUAGGUGGCCAGGCAGGUGCCUGAUGCUGCUGAGAUGACAAGGAGGCCCAGGCUAGGUGGCCAGGCAGGUGCCUGAUGCUGCUGAAAAGACAAGGACUCUUCCCCACCCCACCUCACCCAUGUUAGGUGGCCAGGCAGGUGCCUGACACUGCUGUCCUCUGGGGAGGUGUAAAAUUUCCAUUAGAAAAAUGCAAGGAGGCUGGCCCUGGUGGCACAAACCUUAAAUCCCAGCACUCAGGAUGGAGAGACCGGCAGAUCUCGGAGUUUCAGGCUAGUUAGAACUACGCAGUAAGACCCCGUCUCAAAAACAAACAAACGAGCAAGAAGACGAAAAAGGAGGAGGAAGAGAACUAAGUGCCAAGAACUGGAAGAGGAAGUAUGUUGCUGCGCUGCAGAGUUGCCGUGGCAAUGGGUCAGCAGCAGAAAGAAACAGGUUCUGCCCUCAACAGACCAUCUGUUAGGAAGGGACCUUAAAUCUCCAAGAAAGGAAGUCUCUAGAGAUAGGACAUUCCAUUCUGUUGGAGUUUAAAUUUGGUCCCAGAGCAACAAGACCUGCUUUGGAGCCUCCAAACCUCAGGACUCCACAGUUCUCAAAAAGACAGCCGAACGGCUUCCUGGAAUCCCGUGUGAGCUGUCAGCUCUGCAGCAGUGUAAAGAUGCUGGAGCAUCCUCCAACCGCAAGCCAAGGACCACAAAGCCUUGCGUAUCACCUUGGCUUUCUUACAGUGAGUGGGUGAUUGAAAUGACAGACUCUCAGCCCAUGUGCUUAACUGCUUGAGGUUAGACCUGGGGAGACUGGGCUAAGGGAGAGAUGAUGCAAACCCACUUACAAGGAGAAUGGCCUUGAGUUCUGAGUGACCUUGGGGUGGGCAGCCUGGUCGUCAGAGUAAGCCAGUGGACUUUAUGUCUUUUUUUUUUUCUUUUUCUUUUUUAAUUGGACAUUUUCUUUAUUUACAUUUCAGAUAUUAUCCCCUUUCCUGGUUUCCCCUCCGGAAAAGCAACCUCCCCACUCUUCCCACUCACCAACCCACCCACUCCUGCUUCCUGGUCCUGGCAUUCCCCCACACUGGGGCACAGAGCCUUCUUAGGACCAAGGGCUUCUCCUCCCACUGAUAUCCGACUAGGCCAUCCUCUACUGCAUAUGCAGCUGAAGCCAUGAGUCCCACCAUGUGUGCUCUUUGGUUGGUGGUUAGUCCCGGGAGCUCUGGGGGUACUGGUUAGUUCAUAUUGUUGUUCCUCCCAUGGGGCUGCAAACCCCUUCAGCUCCUUGGGUCCUUUUUCUAGCUCCUCCAUUGGGGACCCUGUACUCAGUCCAAUGGAUGGCUAUGAGCAUCCACUUCUGUAUUUGUGAGGCACUGGCAGAGCCUCUCAGGAGAGAGCUAUAUCAGGCUCCUGUCAGCAAGCACUUGUUGGCAUCCACAAUAGUGUCUGUUUUUGGUGGUUGUUUAUGGGAUGAAUCCCCAGGUGGGGCAGUCUCUGGAUGAUCAUUCAUUCAGUCUCUACUCCAUACUUUGUCUCUGUAACUCCUUCCAUGGGUGUUUUGUUCCCCUUUCUAAGAUGCAUUGAAGUAUCCACACUUCGGUCUUUCUUCUUCUUGAGUUUCAUAUGGUUUGUGAAUUGUAUCUUGGGUAUUCCAAACUUCUGGGCUUCUUAUCACCACUUAUCAGUGAGUGCAUAUCAUGUGGGUUCUUUUGUGACUGGGUUACCUCACUCACGAUGAUAUCCUCCAGAUCCAUCCAUUUGCCUACAAAUUUCAUAAAUUUAUUGUUUUUAAUAGCCGAGUAGUACUCCAUUGUGUAAACUUACCACAUUUUCUGCAUCCAUUCCUCUGUUGAGGGACAUCUGGGUUCUUUCCAGCUUCUGGCUAUUAUAAAUAAGGCUGCUAUGAACAUAGUGGAGCAUGUGUCCUUCUUACAUGUUGGGUAUAUACCCAGGAGAGGUAUUGCUGGGUCCUCAGGUAGUACUAUGUCCAGUUUUCUGAGGAACUGCCAAACUGAGAGGACUUUGUGUCUUACAGAAAAAGCUCUCUGAUCAAGGUGUGGCUGAGACUGGAGAGCAUGGGUGUGGCUGAGACUGGAGAGCAUGGGUGUGGCUGAGACUGGAGAGCAUGGGUGUGGCUGAGACUGGAGAGCAUGGGUGUGGCUGAGACUGGAGAGCAUGGGAAAUAUCCAGGCUAUGUGGCUUCAAAGGUGGCCAACUCUGGGACAAGUUGUUACUCUUGCUAUCCUCCUGCUCCGGAUCAAGGACAGACUGAAGAAAACCUGGGUUUUGCUUCAUUAUCUUUCUACACAGGACACCCCUUCUGCCUGCCGGGUCCUUCAGAAGACUCCCCGGAGUCCCCUCUCUAUUCGGCUGCUUGCUGGUGAAAAGGUCAGCUUAGGAACUUUGGGAAGGUCAUGGAACACUUGCCUCUACAGAAGGGAGAGGCCAAUUAACAUUUCUCAGACCACAGGGCGGGAACUGACCUGCGGGUGGGGACACAUUCCUCAGGACGGACUGUUGUCCACCUUCAGACAAGGGAAGUCCUUGUCACCUCAUUCCCUAAAGACCACUCAGUUUAAAGGGUGCACUGUUCCGCCAAUCAUCUUGUGCCUAGUUGCUGAUGCUCUAUUCUGCCCCUGGAAGCCAUAUAAAAACUUGCCAACUGGGUGCUGGGGUUGCCACCUCUUGUUCGGGUCUGGGUUGACCCCAGUGCACUGGAACAAUAAAUUCCUCUUGCUUUUUGCACCUAUCCUGGCUCCGCGUGAUUCACUCGGGGGUCCCCGGAAAGCUAAGGCUCCCCGGAGUCUUACACUGGCAGUGCUUGGGGCUCCUUGGUUUGCACAGCAACUCUCCUGUCUCUCUGGUCUGAGUCCAAUCUCCUCUCUUCAUAUAAGAACAGCAGUCACAUUCGCUUAUGGCCACCUACAUCCCCUGUGGCCUCACUUAACUUCCUAUAUACCCAUCAAGGUCCUAUUUCCAAAUCAAGUCACAAUCGGAGGCUCCACGUCUACAUGAAUUUGGGGGAAACUAUUCAAGCAAACAUAGCAACUGAAGGUAGAGCCAGCCUACCACACUGUGGGAAGACCCAGAUCAAUAAGAAUCACAGGUUAAUGAGGCAAGGAGACAAGAUUUAUCAACACUGUUUGCUGUAAGAUACCUUCAAGACCUGCCUACACAAACACCUGCUUCUUCAGCGCCUGCUCUGGGAGUGCCAAGUAAACAGGCCGUCCUUUAAGGUAGAUGCAUGGGAAAGACUCCCGUGGCCAGGAGAGCUGGUCUCUCAGGAGCCACAGCAGAAAGCAGAGCCCUGAACUCAUCGUUAUUUAAACUUGUGAGCCUGUCUCUUUGCAGCCAGACCUCUGCCCUCACUAAUGGAAGGCAUGCAUUCUCCCGGGAAGGGCCAGUCCUCAUUGGCGCUGAUGUCUGAGGACAUGAAGGGACAGACUGACAAGCUGGCCAAGUAAGGCCUGACUCCCUCCCAGACAGGUGUGAUCCUGAGGGACUCCCACGGUGUGGCACAGGUCUGUUUUGUGACUGGUAAUAAAAUCUUGAGAUUCCUUCAGUCCAAAGGCCUCUACCAUUUGAUUAAGAAAGCA